UAGAUAGACAUGUGGAUCUGGUGGCUGUU
rnacentral:piRNA from 1 species